CUCAGGCCUGUUGUGAACUGGAAACUGCUGGAAUACCAGUGUCACUGUCCACAGUGAAGCAAUUUUUACAUCUCCAUGGACUGAGAGGGUGCUGAUAAAGAAAGAAGCCCCUGCUCCAAAAUCGACACCUUCAAGCUGGACUGAAAUUUGAAGCUGCCCACAUGGACAAGCCAAACGUCUUCUGGAGAAAGGUUUUAUGGUCAGAGGAUGUUAUAAUGGAG